rnacentral:rRNA from 1 species
AACUCAAAGGAAUUGACGGGGACCCGCACAAGCGGUGGAGCAUGUGGUUUAAUUCGAAGCAACGCGAAGAACCUUACCAGGUCUUGACAUCGAUCCGACGGGGGAGUAACGUCCCCUUCCCUUCGGGGCGGAGAAGACAGGUGGUGCAUGGUUGUCGUCAGCUCGUGUCGUGAGAUGUUGGGUUAAGUCCCGCAACGAGCGCAACCCUUAUUCUAAGUAGCCAGCGGUUCGGCCGGGAACUCUUGGGAGACUGCCAGGGAUAACCUGGAGGAAGGUGGGGAUGACGUCAAAUCAUCAUGCCCCUUAUGAUCUGGGCUACACACGUGCUACAAUGGCGUAAACAAAGAGAAGCAAGACCGCGAGGUGGAGCAAAUCUCAAAAAUAACGUCUCAGUUCGGACUGCAGGCUGCAACUCGCCUGCACGAAGCUGGAAUCGCUAGUAAUCGCGAAUCAGAAUGUCGCGGUGAAUACGUUCCCGGGUCUUGCACACACCGCCCGUC